GGGAGCUUGCUCCUUGAUUCAGCGGCGGACGGGUGAGUAAUGCCUAGGAAUCUGCCUGGUAGUGGGGGACAACGUUUCGAAAGGAACGCUAAUACCGCAUACGUCCUACGGGAGAAAGCAGGGGACCUUCGGGCCUUGCGCUAUCAGAUGAGCCUAGGUCGGAUUAGCUAGUUGGUGAGGUAAUGGCUCACCAAGGCGACGAUCCGUAACUGGUCUGAGAGGAUGAUCAGUCACACUGGAACUGAGACACGGUCCAGACUCCUACGGGAGGCAGCAGUGGGGAAUAUUGGACAAUGGGCGAAAGCCUGAUCCAGCCAUGCCGCGUGUGUGAAGAAGGUCUUCGGAUUGUAAAGCACUUUAAGUUGGGAGGAAGGGCAGUAAGUUAAUACCUUGCUGUUUUGACGUUACCGACAGAAUAAGCACCGGCUAACUCUGUGCCAGCAGCCGCGGUAAUACAGAGGGUGCAAGCGUUAAUCGGAAUUACUGGGCGUAAAGCGCGCGUAGGUGGUUCGUUAAGUUGGAUGUGAAAGCCCCGGGCUCAACCUGGGAACUGCAUCCAAAACUGGCGAGCUAGAGUACGGUA
rnacentral:rRNA from 1 species